rnacentral:rRNA from 1 species
CCUACGGGAGGCAGCAGUGAGGAAUCUUGCGCAAUGGGCGAAAGCCUGACGCAGCAACGCCGCGUGCGGGAUGAAGGCCUUCGGGUUGUAAACCGCUUUUAACAGGAACGAAAAUGACGGUACCUGUAGAAUAAGGUGCGGCCAACUACGUGCCAGCAGCCGCGGUGACACGUAGGCACCAAGCGUUGUCCGGAUUUAUUGGGCGUAAAGAGCUCGUAGGCGGUUCGAUAAGUCGGGUGUGAAAACUCUGGGCUUAACCCAGAGACGCCACUCGAUACUAUUGUGACUAGGGUUCGGUAGGGGAGCGGGGAAUUCCUAGUGUAGCGGUGAAAUGCGCAGAUAUUAGGAGGAACACCGGUGGCGAAGGCGCCGCUCUGGGCCGAAACUGACGCUGAGGAGCGAAAGCGUGGGUAGCAAACAGGAUUAGAUACCCUGGUAGUCCACGCCGUAAACGGUGGGCACUAGGUGUGGGCUCCAACCAACGGAGUCCGCGCCGUCGCUAACGCAUUAAGUGCCCCGCCUGGGGAGUACGGCCGCAAGGUUAAAACCUUAAAGAGUAUGACGNNGAGUGCGACGACGCACACGGAGGAGAG